CUUCCUCCAGCAGAGCAAUGUGAUCCACCGGCAAGGAGGGACGCCAAUAAGGCAUCCAAAAAGAUAAGUCUUAUAAAAUAUAUAGAUUUAUGGUAAUUAAGACUGAGCUAACAGAUGAGAAUCCUAGUCAUUGGCCAAGCAGCAUUGUACCUACUACAAGUCUCUCUGUGCAUUAUUUGGGGCCCUAACUCAGGCGGGAGGCUGGCGUAGAGCGCACACUGGGUGCUGGGCUUGGCGGCUUUUGGCAGAAAGAUUUAUUGUAACAGAUAUUGUAAGAAAGAAUGAAAGAGAGAAAGAAAUCCUUAUUAAAACUAGACUAUUUUAUAACCCAGAUGCCCCUCAACUGAAGAAUGCAUGGAGAAAAUGUGGUACAUUUACACAAUGGAGUACUACUCAGCAGAAAAAAAAACAACGGAAUCUUGAAAUUCACAGGCAAAUGGAUGGAACUAGAAGAAACCAUCCCAAGUGAGGAAAAUGUUAUUUAAAAGGCCGUGCCUUAUAACUGAUGCUGGGCAGACAAGGAUCAGGGUCAUCCUGCCUCUGUGCUUGUGGUACAAAUGGAGCUAAAAGAUGCUUGGAAAAUGGAGUCUCUAAGGCCAUAGGCAUGUAGGAAUCGAAUGCUGUCAGCUCCUCUGGAAAAAGUGGUUGUCAAGACAACAAGACAAAGUAACUCAAAGUUGGUGUAAGAAAUUUCAUGGGAUUCCAAUCUAAAAAAUUGUAUAUAUUCUUGUUUGUUAAGGAACUUACAAACUAUGUAUGUGUGUGUGUAUGAGUGUAUAUAUAUGUAUAUA
rnacentral:lncRNA from 1 species